CCUACGGGAGGCAGCAGUGGGGAAUAUUGGACAAUGGGGGGAACCCUGAUCCAGCCAUGCCGCGUGUGUGAAGAAGGCCCUCGGGUUGUAAAGCACUUUCAGUGAGGAAGAACGCCUGGUGGUUAAUACCCAUCAGGAAAGACAUCACUCACAGAAGAAGCACCGGCUAACUCCGUGCCAGCAGCCGCGGUAAUACGGAGGGUGCGAGCGUUAAUCGGAAUUACUGGGCGUAAAGCGCGCGUAGGUGGCUUGAUAAGCCGGUUAUGAAAGCCCCGGGCUCAACCUGGGAACGGCAUCCGGAACUGUCAAGCUAGAGUGCAGGAGAGGAAGGUAGAAUUCCCGGUGUAGCGGUGAAAUGCGUAGAGAUCGGGAGGAAUACCAGUGGCGAAGGCGGCCUUCUGGACUGACACUGACACUGAGGUGCGAAAGCGUGGGUAGCAAACAGGAUUAGAUACCCUGGUAGUC
rnacentral:rRNA from 1 species